GACGAACGCUGGCGGCGUGCCUAAUACAUGCAAGUAGAACGCACAGUUUAUACCGUAGCUUGCUACACCAUAGACUGUGAGUUGCGAACGGGUGAGUAACGCGUAGGUAACCUGCCUGGUAGCGGGGGAUAACUAUUGGAAACGAUAGCUAAUACCGCAUAAUAUUAAUUAUUGCAUGAUAAUUAAUUGAAAGGUGCAAUUGCACCACUACCAGAUGGACCUGCGUUGUAUUAGCUAGUAGGUGAGGUAACGGCUCACCUAGGCGACGAUACAUAGCCGACCUGAGAGGGUGGUCGGCCACACUGGGACUGGGACACGGCCCAGACUCCUACGGGAGGCAGCAGUAGGGAAUCUUCGGCAAUGGACGGAAGGCUGACCGAGCAACGCCGCGUGAGUGAAGAAGGGUUUCGGAUCGUAAAGCUCGGCUGUAAGAGAAGAACGGGUGUGAGAGUGGAAAGUUCACACUGUGACGGUAUCUAACCAGAAAGGGACGGCUAACUACGUG
rnacentral:rRNA from 1 species